AGAGUUUGAUCCUGGCUCGGGACGAACGCUUUGGCGGCGUGCCUAACACAUGCAAGUCGAGCGGAGACAGUGAGUAGCUUGCUAUGAGCUGUUUUAGCGGCGGACGGGUGAGUAACGCGUGAGCAACCUUUCCCAGACAGGGGAAUAACACACCGAAAGGUGUACUAAUACCGCAUAAGACCACGGAAUCACAUGGUUCUGAGGUAAAAGAUUUAUCGGUUUGGGGUGGGCUCGCGUCCGAUUAGGUAGUUGGUGAGGUAACGGCCCC
rnacentral:rRNA from 1 species